AUUCUAAUUAUUACCUUGGCAAGUGGCGAUCGCUGUAUAUGUAAGCGGACAGCAAGUAUUUCUCACUCACUCGACUGCACUCGCAAGGAUGGCGGCCGCCAAGGGGACGUUCCUCGACCACGUCACCAAAGAGUCAUCGGACGUCAAGCGUCUUGCUCAAUUCUACCAGGAGAUACUUGGAUUCGAGCAGAUAGAGAGCCCCAACUUUCCUGAUGUCGAAACGAUAUGGCUGAAACUCCCGCCUUCUUUCUACCUCCACCUGAUCCAGCGGUAUCCGGCGUCGCGGCUCCCGGAAGGGCCGUGGAGAGCCUCCGAAUCGGCCGUCGCCGACCCCAAGAACCUCCCCACAGGACACCACAUGUGCUUCACGGUCCCCAACUUCGAUUUCGCCGUUCAAACCCUCAAGGACAAGGGUAUUGAAAUUCAUCUUACAUCUCUCCUACAUUGAAAGAUGAGACAAACAUUCUUUUUGUUGAAUUACGUGUCAUCACUCGCGCCCCUCGCUGAACCCGCUCUUGGGUCAUCAUGAGAGAGAUAAAUCGAGAGAUAUACCCAAAUAAUCAAGGUAACGGUCUGGAAAUUGCAAGCCCUCUAGGAGAAGUGUCAGCUGGGCGUUGGUUUGUUUUAUAAUAUGGAUUUUUAUUUCCUAAUUAGAAGCUGAUAAAAAAGUUCUAGAAGGCCAAGAAGUUAGAAGACAUGCGAUGCGACAUGUUGGAGGAUAGCAGGAGCAGCCGCCUUUGCCUUGGAGCUUAAUUUCAUGUGUUUCUUUUUCAAAAGAAGAUUGAGAAUAAAUAAUGUUCGAUAAAAUUAAGAAUAUUCUCGAUCAUGCAUGCAUGCGUGUUGUACUGUUAAUUUCCAAUGCUCAUUCAGUGAAUUUAUAAACUCUUUCACUCAAUGUAUUUACCAUAUUACGUGUGUUAGAGAUCAAACUCAAUUUUAAAUUUUUAUUAUAAUUAUAUAUAAAUGAGUUGACAUAAUCUUUUAAAUAACUAUUAAUCAAUAAACUAUCAAAAUUCAUUAAACACUUCUAAUAAAUUAACCCCUUUGCCGAAACGAGAGCAGAGAUUGAACUCAAGAUCAUAAAUAGCAUCGAUCGGUAAUUUGGUACGAUAGCUGUUUGUAUUUAAGCAUGAUCUGGUCGCCAGCUCACUGCCACCUGUCACGUUCCAAAGUCUCCACGAACCCAGCUCUCUCUCUCUCUCACUGCUACGUGCCUAUCACUAAAAUCCAACCUGCCGACUUUGCGGAGUAAGGAUAAUGCUAAACGUUAUGACUGAUGACAGUCGUGAUGCUUAGCUGGCAGCACACCAUUGGCUGUGUGCUGCCUCAUGAGACAGUCAUG